GGCGUGGAGAAGACCUUCACAUCUACAGCUGGGUCUGCUGCGUGAACAUGGCUGUGCUGGGGAUUUUAGCGGCGCUGGGGAUUUUCCUGGGUGCUGCAAAUGCAGCCACUUUGGGAGUCGUCUCCACUGAAGGAGGGAUGGUGGAGGGGAAGAACAAUGGUGUUGGACUCUUCCGCUACAUGGACGUCUUUAAGGGAGUCCCCUUCGCUGCCCCACCUGGACGAUUCCAGAAACCCGUUCCUCACCCAGGCUGGACAGGAGUUCUGAAGGCCACAGAGUUCUCUAAGAGGUGUCUGCAGUUGACCCUGCUGCAGAGUGGAACUCGCGGCAGUGAGGACUGCCUGUACCUCAACAUCUGGGUUCCUCAGGGACGUUCAGUCUCUACUGGUCUGCCGGUCAUGCUGUUCUUCUAUGGUGGAGCUUUCCUGAUGGGCGGUUCUCAGGGGGCUAACUUUUUGGAUAACUACCUGUACAGUGGAGAGGAGAUCGCAGACAGGGGGAAUGUGAUCGUGGUGACGGUGAACUAUCGUCUCGGCACCCUUGGGUUCCUGAGCUCAGGAGAUUCAGAAUUACCUGGUAACUAUGGUCUGUGGGAUCAGCACGCUGCUAUUGGCUGGGUGUUCAGGAACAUCAAAGCUUUUGGAGGAGAUCCUUCCAACAUCACCAUCUUUGGAGAGUCUGCUGGAGGAGCCAGCGUGAGCUUCCAGAUGCUGUCCCCCCACAACAAGGGCAUGAUCCGCAGAGCUAUCUCUCAGAGUGGUGUCGCUCUGUGCCCGUGGGCUGUGAACAGAAAUCCCAGGGCAUAUGCUGAGGAGGUUGCUAAGAAUGUGGGCUGUCCCACUGAUCAGAGCAUGUUCAGCUGCCUGAAGAUGACUGACCCGUCCCAGCUCACUCUGGCCGGCCCAGUCAGCCUGGGUAGCUCUCCAUCCAACCCCGUAGUGAACAACCUGUCCCUUUCUCCUGUGAUUGAUGGUGAUUUCCUCCCUGAUGAGCCCAGCAACCUGUUCGGCAACGCUGCUGACAUUGACUAUAUAGCUGGAAUCAAUGACAUGGACGGUCACAUGUUCAGUGGGGUUGAUGUUCCUUCUGUCAACCAGCCCCUCCAGAACACCCCUGUGGAAGAUGUGAAGGAGCUCCUGACUGCUUUGACCAGAGUGAAGGGUCCAGAAGCUGCAGCUUCUGCUUUCAGCCAGUACAGCUCAGGCUGGUCAAGCAAACCAACCAACGUGGAGGUCAAGAAGACGAUUGUGGACAUCGAGACGGAUUACAUCUUCUUAGUGCCGACCCAGACUGCCCUGUAUCUGCACAACAAGCACGCCAACACGGCUCGUACCUACUCGUACCUGUUCUCUGAGCCCAGCCGCAUGCCUAUCUACCCCAGCUGGAUGGGUGCUGAUCAUGCUGAUGAUCUGCAGUAUGUGUUUGGAAAGCCCUUCGCCACUCCUCUGGGUUACUGGCCUCGUCACCGUAAAGUCUCCAAAUACAUGAUCGCUUACUGGACCAACUUUGCCAAAACUGGUGACCCCAACUCAGGACCCUCUGAGGUUCCUGUGACCUGGCCCAGACUCACCGGACAAGACCACCAGUUUGUGGACAUCAACAACAGCAUGGGCAAGACUUCUGUCAAGCAGAAACUGAGGAGUCGCUUCGUCCACUUCUGGACCAACACCUUCAUCAGCUUCCCCAACGUCAACUAAACACACCACAGCUUCAACAUCUCCAGUUAGUUCAUUAUCAGGCUGUGCUUCCUGUUAUAACUACUGUAUUAAAUAAUCAGACCUCAGGAACCCGCUGGACAGCCCAUGUUUUUGUUGCGCUUUCUUUCCCAACACCUAAAAACAGGUUAUCAGUCCUGAUUGGGUGGCUGAGUUGCAAUAGAAUGAAUUAGAUUUAGAGCUGGGGCUACCUGAGUGCUCGACUAAAAUCUACAUACCAAAUGAUUUCCUUUUUUUAAUGGAUCAUCCUACAAUAUAUUUGUUGCUUUUACCAAUUUACUACACAUAUUAUUCUAGCAGAAUAUCAACUGCUUUUCACUUUGGAAACAUUUUCCCCUCAUUAAACUUCACUGCAUAGCAA